UACGGGGGGGGCAAGCGUUGUUCGGAAUUACUGGGCGUAAAGCGUGCGCAGGCGGUUUUGCAAGCCGGAUGUGAAAUCCCCGGGCUUAACCUGGGAAUGGCAUUUGGGACUGCAAGGCUGGAGUGCGGCAGAGGAGACUGGAAUUCCUGGUGUAGCAGUGAAAUGCGUAGAUAUCAGGAGGAACACCGAUGGCGAAGGCAGGUCUCUGGGCUGACACUGACGCUCAUGCACGAAAGCGUGGGGAGCAAACAGG
rnacentral:rRNA from 1 species